rnacentral:rRNA from 1 species
GACGAACGCUGGCGGCGUGCUUAACACAUGCAAGUCGAACGGUGAAGCGCCUUCCUUUUUGGUGGGUGUGGAUGAGUGGCGAACGGGUGAGUAACACGUGAGUAACCUGCCCCCUUCUUCUGGAUAACCGCAUGAAAGUGUGGCUAAUACGGGAUAUUCUGGGUCUGUCGCAUGAUGGGUCUGGGAAAGAUAUUGUUUCGGUGGGGGAUGGGCUCGCGGCCUAUCAGCUUGUUGGUGGGGUGAUGGCCUACCAAGGCGGUGACGGGUAGCCGGCCUGAGAGGGUGGACGGUCACACUGGGACUGAGACACGGCCCAGACUCCUACGGGAGGCAGCAGUGGGGAAUACUGCACAAUGGGCGCAAGCCUGAUGCAGCGACGCCGCGUGAGGGAUGGAGGCCUUCGGGUUGUGAACCUCUUUCGCCAGUGAAGCAGGCCUGCCUCGUUUGUGGGUGGGUUGACGGUAGCUGGAGAAGAAGCGCCGGCUAACUACGUG